rnacentral:rRNA from 1 species
GCGGCUAAUAACCGGAUACAGUCCGCAAGGAGAAAGAUUUAUCAGCCGAGGGAUCGGCCCGCGUCGGAUUAGCUAGGUUCGUGGGGUAAUGGCCCACCAAGGCUACGAUCCUGUAGCUUGUCUGAGAGGAUGAUCAGCCACACUGGGACUGAGACACGGUCACCAUACUCCUACGUGGAGUGCAGCAGUGGGGAAUACUUGGACAAUGGAGCGCAAGUCCUGAUCCAGCUAAUGCCGCGCUGAGUGAUGAAGGUCCUUCGGGUUGUAAAGCUCUUCCACACGCGACGAUUAUUACGGUUGCGUGAGAAGAAGCCCCGGCUANCUUCGUGCCANGCAGCCGCGGUAAUACGAAGGGGGCUAGCGUUNNUUCGGAAUUACUGGGCGUCAAGGGACGACAGUAGGCGUACUUCAGUCAGCGUAACCCCGGGCUCACCUGGGAACCGCGCUUGAACUGGAGAACUAGAGUUCGGGAGAGGAUGGUGGAAUUCCCAGUGUAAGGUAAUUCGUAAAUUUUGGGAAGAACACCGAUGGCCAAGGCAGCCAUCUGGACCGACUGACGCUGAGGGCGCGAAAGCGUUGGGGAGCCAAACAGGAUUAGAUACCCUGGUAGUCCACGCCGUAACGAUGAGUGCUAGACGUUGGGGUUCUUAGGGCUUCGGUGUCGCAGCUAACGCAUUAAGCACUCCGCCUGGGGAGUACGGCCGCAAGGUUAAAACUCAAAGGAAUUGACGGGGGCCCGCACAAGCGGUGGAGCAUGUGGUUUUAAUUCGAAGCAACGCGCAGAACCUUACCAGCCCUUGACAUGGGCGUCGCGGGUCCAGAGAUGGACCUUUCGGUUCGGCCGGACGCCGCACAGGUGCUGCAUGGCUGUCGUCAGCUCGUGUCGUGAGAUGUUGGGUUAAGUCCCGCAACGAGCGCAACCCUCAUCUUCAGUUGCCAUCAGGUAACGCUGGGCACUCUGGAGAAACCGCCGGUGACAAGCCGGAGGAAGGCGGGGAUGACGUCAAGUCCUCAUGGCCCUUAUGGGCUGGGCUACACACGUGCUACAAUGGUGGUGACAGUGGGCAGCGAGAUCGCGAGAUCGAGCCAAUCUCCAAAAGCCAUCUCAGUUCGGAUCGCACUCUGCAACUCGGGUGCGUGAAGUUGGAAUCGCUAGUAAUCGCGGAUCAGCACGCCGCGGUGAAUACGUUCCCGGGCCUUGUACACACCGCCCGUCACACCAUGGGAGUUGGUUUUACCCGAAGCCGGUGGGCUAACCGCAAGGAGGCAGCCGACCACGGUCAGGUCAGCGACUGGGGUGAAGUCGUAACAAGGUAGCCGUAGGGGAACCUGCGGCUGGAUCACCUCCU